CCUUGCUCCAUUCAUCGUUCGGUCGGCGCCUCGAUAGAUAGUACGUACUCGCGUAGUCCGCUCGCAACCCUCUUCCUAUUUUUUAGAAUUUUUGCUUUUGAAUAAAAACAGUACUGACUCGAUCAGGAAACUAGUGCUAAAAUCUAAUAUUAGACGUUGUAACCGAACUAUUUGCAUUUUUUCAUACAAACAAACACCUCAAAAACCCAAAAUGUGCAAGUGCAUAGCUGGAAGCGUUGUCUGCUGCUGCUGCCAGUGCGCCAUGAGCGUAUUCAUCUCGCUGCUGUUUGUGGGCAUACUGCUCGCGGCGGCCAUUGCCGCCGGGAUCUACUUUGGAGUGCUGAACGUCGACGACAAAGCCCCGGAGCUGUCGGAGUUUGUGCACAAAACUGGCGACUCGAUCAAGGAUGCCGUCAAAGAUAAGCUCAACUAAGUGACUAAGCGACAGGAAGGUGUCAGCGGGGGAGUUUUGAAUCUCUACAAAUGAACAUUUAGAUCUGGAUAUACCUUUGUAUUUAUAUACAUAAAAGCCAUCAACUGGAUUACAUUAGCUAGAUUUUUUUUAAACCAUGAGAGGCGAAUUUUAGCGCGUAUUAGAAUAUACAAAAAAAUGCAAAUCAGAUCCAUGUGCUUUAACAGCUAAAAAUACAGCAGCGGGUUUCUAUAUGAAACCUAUUUGCAUAAGUACAAUAACAAUGAAUAGAUUAUAACCAAAAUAAAAACAAACCAUAAACUGCAGAUAAAACAAUCUCCGUCGAACAACAAAAUUCAAAUCGAAAAGUGGCUUGAUAAGUGUGAACUAUGCAACAUAUGUAAAUAUGAUUUCGAGUAUUUAUGUUCUUAAAAUAUAAUAAUUUAUGUAUACUAUUGA